rnacentral:rRNA from 1 species
GACGUAGGGCGCGAGCGUUGUCCGGAUUUAUUGGGCGUAAAGAGCUCGUAGGCGGCUUGUCGCGUCGACUGUGAAAACCCGUGGCUCAACCAUGUGGUCUGCAGUCGAUACGGGCAGGCUAGAAUUCGGUAGGGGAGACUGGAAUUCCUGGUGUAGCGGUGAAAUGCGCAGAUAUCAGGAGGAACACCGGUGGCGAAGGCGGAUCUCUGGGCCUUACCUGACGCUGAGGCGCGAAAGCUAGGGGAGCAAACAGG